GAUGAACGCUGGCGGCGUGCCUAAUACAUGCAAGUCGAGCGAACAGACGAGGAGCUUGCUCCUCUGACGUUAGCGGCGGACGGGUGAGUAACACGUGGAUAACCUACCUAUAAGACUGGGAUAACUUCGGGAAACCGGAGCUAAUACCGGAUAAUAUAUUGAACCGCAUGGUUCAAUAGUGAAAGACGGUUUUGCUGUCACUUAUAGAUGGAUCCUCGCCGCAUUAGCUAGUUGGUAAGGUAACGGCUUACCAAGGCAACGAUGCGUAGCCGACCUGAGAGGGUGAUCGGCCACACUGGAACUGAGACACGGUCCAGACUCCUACGGGAGGCAGCAGUAGGGAAUCUUCCGCAAUGGGCGAAAGCCUGACGGAGCAACGCCGCGUGAGUGAUGAAGGUCUUCGGAUCGUAAAACUCUGUUAUUAGGGAAGAACAAAUGUGUAAGUAACUAUGCGCGUCUUGACGGUACCUAAUCAGAAAGCCACGGCUAACUACGUG
rnacentral:rRNA from 1 species